UCACUUGUUAACCUUCGGCGCGCCGGCGCCUCCCUUCGAAGGUACACAAACCGCCCCACGGCCACCCGCGUUUGCCAAGAGUUGGAGAAAAACAAGCGAGGCGCAGACAACCUCUGACAGAUACAGAAGUUGAAGCUCACAGAGGAUUGGUGACAUAUCAAAGCCAGCAGGGCUAAAGAAGAGCCAGCAUUCGUGACAAUAAGGACCAAGCUCCUCAUAACUGCUCUGCUCUAGUGCCUGCCAAAAUACCAUCUUGCUGCCGAACAAGGCAGCCCCAGGUCUGGGGAGACUGAGGCAGGAGGAUUGCUACGAGUCUGAGGCCAGCCUCUGCUACAUAGCAAGCAACAUGAGGUAUGGUGCUCUCUCAAAGUAUGGCAGUGACAGCAAGCUGCAGCAUUCACAGGGGACACCAGCGAUCCUCUACCAUGCACUCGGUGAUGGUCAGGAGGCUAGGAGGACUCCAUGCAUUUUAAACCUACAAUAUCUUCAGUUGACCAAAGGCUUA